rnacentral:rRNA from 1 species
GGAAAAGAAACUAACAAGGAUUCCCCUAGUAACUGCGAGUGAAGCGGGAAGAGCUCAAAUUUAAAAUCUGGCGGUCUUCUGGCCGUCCGAGUUGUAGUCUGGAGAAGUGUUAUCCGCGUCGGACCGUGUACAAGUCUCCUGGAAUGGAGCGUCGUAGAGGGUGAGAAUCCCGUCCAUGACACGGACGACCGAUGCUAUGUGAGGCACUCUCAAAGAGUCGAGUUGUUUGGGAAUGCAGCUCAAAAUGGGUGGUAAAUUCCAUCUAAAGCUAAAUAUUGGCGAGAGACCGAUAGCGAACAAGUACCGUGAGGGAAAGAUGAAAAGCACUUUGGAAAGAGAGUUAAACAGUACGUGAAAUUGUUGAAAGGGAAACGCUUGAAGUCAGUCGCGUCCCGUGGAACUCAGCCUUGCUUCGGCCUGGUGUACUUUCUGCGGGAUGGGCCAACAUCAGUUUCGGCCGGUGGAAAAAGGCAGGGGGAAUGUAGCGCCGCUUCGGUGGCGUGUUAUAGCCCACUGUCGAAUACACUGGCCGGGACUGAGGACCGCAGCACGCCCUUGUGGCCGGGGGUUCGCCCCACGUAACGUGCUUAGGAUGUCGGCAUAAUGGCUUUAAGCGACCCGUCUUGAAACACGGACCAAGGAGUCUAACAUGCCUGCAAGUGUUCGGGUGGAAAACCCUUGCGCGUAAUGAAAGUGAAAGUUGGGAGCCUCCGCAAGGGGGUGCACCGACGCCCGGCCCUGAAGUUCUCUGACGGUGCUGCGGUAGAGCAAGUAUGUUGGGACCCGAAAGAUGGUGAACUAUGCCUGAAUAGGGCGAAGCCAGAGGAAACUCUGGUGGAGGCUCGUAGCGAUUCUGACGUGCAAAUCGAUCGUCAAAUUUGGGUAUAGGGGCGAAAGACUAAUCGAACCA